rnacentral:rRNA from 1 species
CGGGUGACCUACCUUCGAGUGGGGGAUAACGUUCCGAAAGGAGCGCUAAUACCGCAUGACAUCCCGUCUUUGGAAAGAUGGUGAUCAAAGCUGGGGAUCGCAAGACCUGGCGCUUGUUGAGGGGCCCGCGUCCGAUUAGCUUGUUGGCGGGGUAAGAGCCCACCAAGGCGACAAUCGGUAGCCGGCCUGAGAGGGCGGACGGCCACACUGGGACUGAGACACGGCCCAGACUCCUACGGGAGGCAGCAGUGGGGAAUUGUUCGCAAUGGGCGCAAGCCUGACGACGCAACGCCGCGUGGAGGACGAAAACCUUCGGGUCGUAAACUCCUGUCGAGCGGGACGAACACCAAUCGGGUUAAUACCCCGGAUGGCUGUCGGUACCGUUAAGAAGCCUGGCUUACUUCGUGCCAGCAGUCGCGGUACUCCGGGGGGGGCAAGCGUGUUCGGAUUUACUGGGCGUAAGAGCUCUUAGGCGGCUUGUUUAGUCGGACGUGAAUCCCUCGGCUCCACUGAGACUGCGUCCGAUACUGCAAGCUUGAAUCCGGGAGAGGGAUGCGGAAUUCCAGGUGUAGCGGUGAAAUGCGUAGAUAUCUGGAGGAACACCGGUGGCGAAGGCGGCAUCCUGGACCGGGUAUUGACGCUGAGGAGCGAAAGCUAGGGUAGCAAACGGAUUAGAUACCCCGGUAGUCCUAGCCUAAACGAUGAAUGCUUGGUGUAGCGGGUAUCGAUCCUGCUGUGCGGAAGCUUACGCAUUAAGCAUUCCGCUUGGGGAGUACGUUCGCAGGCUGGAACUCAAGGAUUGACGGGGUCGCCAAGCGUGGAGCAUGUGGUUCCAUUCGACGCAACGCGAAGAACCUUACCCAGGCUUGAAGUGCGAGUGACCAUCGACGAAAGUCGACUUCCGCAAGGACGCUCGUAGAGGUGCUGCAUGGCUGUCGUCAGCUCGUGUCGUGAGAUGUUGGGUUAAGUCCCGCAACGAGCGCAACCCUUGUCUGCUGUUGCCAUCAGUUCGGCUGGGCACUCUGCGGAGACUGCCGGUGAUAAACCGGAGGAAGGUGGGGAUGACGUCAAGUCAGCAUGGCCUUUAUGUCUGGGGCUACACACGUGCUACAAUGGCCGGUACAGAGCGCUGCGAGCCCGCGAGGGGGAGCUAAUCGCACAAAGCCGGUCUCAGUUCGGAUUGUAGGCUGCAACUCGCCUGCAGAGUUUGAUCCUGGCUCAGAUAAGUCGUAACAAGGUAACCAAGUCGUAACGCUAGAGUUUGAUCCUGGCUCAGAAGUCGUAACAAGGUAACC